rnacentral:misc_RNA from 1 species
GUGAAUCAUCGAAUCUUUGAACGCAUCUUGCGCUCCUUGGCAUUCCGAGGAGCAUGCCUGUUUGAGUGUCGUGGAAUAUCCUCAAUUUCAAUCUUUUUGCUUGAAAUUGGAUUUGGACGUUGUUGGCAUCUUCAACUCGUCCUAAAUGCAUUAGCGAAUCUGCCUUGAUCACGCACAAUGUGAUAACUAUGAUCAUUGUUAGGGUCAAAUGGAAUCGCUUCUAAUCGUCGAAAGACACUUUAUGUCAUUUGACCUCAAAUCAGGUAGGACUACCCGCUGAACUUAAGCAUAUCAAUAAGCGGAGGA